CUGCGGUAUUUUGACCGUGCUAAGGUAGCAUAAUCAAUUGUUUUUUAAUUGAAAACUAGUAUGAACGGUUUAAUUUACUUAAUUAGUUUGUAAUUUUUAAUAGUAAGUUAAAUAUAAAGUAAGAAUUCUUUAAUAAAUUAGGGGACGAUAAGACCCUAAAAGCUUUAUGAUUGGCAUUUAAUUAGUGAUAGCGGUGUUAUUAAUUCACUGGGGCAGUGAGUUUAGGUAUAUUUAAGUAUAAUUAAAAGCUCCUUUAAAUAAAGAUUUCAUGUAUAAGUUACUUUAGGGAUAACAGUGCAAUAUAUU
rnacentral:rRNA from 1 species